rnacentral:tRNA from 3 species
UGCCGGGUGGUGUAAUUGGUAACACGUCUGCCUUUGGAGCAGAAGACUUCAGGUUCGAUCCCUGACCCGGCAGCAA